UGUUUUUCUUUGUUUUUGUUUUUUAUUGUGGCUUUGUGGCAUGAAUUUUGUUGUUGUCUUGCUUUGUGCCUAUUGGUUUAUUUUCCUUAGAUGUCUAGAGCUAGAAAGGGUACCAAAGGGGGUGCAUCUUCUUCCGGAAGUGCAGCUCAACCGGAAGAGGCAAUUCUCACUGCCACUGUGGUUACUGAGCGUAACCUAGAUCUUAAUCCCUCCAUCCAAACCGCUGGACUUAUUCAAGUCCAGCACCUUCCUAGGGACCGAAAUCUCUUACCUUUAGCUCGUAUCUAUAAAAAAUACAAUGAAUCAAUUGUGCGAGAGUUUUAUGCUGCUUUCCCUAGGGAGGAGUUUAGAGAUAAUCAAGCUGUGCCCAUUAAAGUUCGGGCCAAAAAUGUUGACCUAUCCCCCUCCAUUAUCUCUGAUAUUCUUCACUUGCCUGAGGGGGAUACUGAUGCGUGGAACCAAUAUGUAAAUAGAGAUUUUGAUUUGCAAAACGCAGCUGAAAGACUUUUUUAUGCUAACCCUGCUGCCUUUGCAUCUCAAACCAAAAAGAAUGUCCUCAUUCAGGGUAAGUUGACCCCCUACUUUGCCAUCCUGUGGAGCUUUGUGCGCCAUAACAUCUACCCAUCCGGCCAACAGUCGGAAAUUCCCACAGUAGGGGUAAAGAUCCUGAAAGUUUUGCAUGAGGGAACUUUUUCCCUACCUAUUGUUGACAUUAUUUUUGAACGCUUAAAGGCUUGUGCACGUAAGAAAAGCAUCAUUUAUUAUCCUUGCCUUGUUAGCAUGAUUUGCUUACGCUCAGGUGAUCGGGCUCGCUCUAUUGAUAUAAUUGCUGAGCCCAUGGGUCCCAUUUCGGACACUUCUGUGUCCAAGAGUAUUUCUCAGAGACGCAAUGCACCCGCACCAGCUCCAGUGCCGCCCCAUGUGCCACCACCACCGCCACACAGGCCGGCCUCAUCACAGCCAUUCCCACCAGCUCCCAGUGUCGACACCUCUGCUUGGGACCCAUGUCUCCAAGCGAUGUGGGGCUUUCAGAUGCUCCAGUAUCAGCAUAUGAGCACCUCCAUUGACGCCAUUUGGACCCACCUCCAGAUGUCAGGUCAACCCGGGACCUCUGCACAUGAUGAUGAUGCUGAUGAUGAUCAGUAGUACUUUGAGUAUUGUACCCUUUUGAACUUUUCGUUUAUUUUGUUUUUUGGUUUUAUUUUCAGACGGUUGUUAGUUUGUUUAUUUCAACUUUUACUGUUAGUUCAACUUUUGUUUGUUUACCCUUCCUUUUAUUAUGUGAUUAUCAAUCCCAAUUUCUCUAUAUGGCAUUGUUUAAUCUUAAAUCUCCAUCAGUUAUAAACAGUGUUUCAUAUAAGUUUGGGAAGUGUUUUCAAUUCAUUAAUGCACAAUCAGAAAUUGGGCGUGAAUGCUUUUUCAUUUCUUAACAUGUGAUUACAUACACAAACGUGAAAAUGCGUACAUAUAUUCCUAAUCCCAUGUUCUUUGUUGCAUUCUGUGCCACCUGAGGCUUCUGCUAAUUGCCUCUGUUUGUUUUUGCUUGUAGAAUCUGCAGCAGCUCUACAUGAUCUUCAUUCCUUUUGUGCAGCAUCUCUACAUGCUGGGUGGCACUGUAGAGCCGCUUCUGCAGGUCCGCCACCUGAGCUUUCAGGGCCGCCACCUCCUCACUUAGUGCCCCGCACUCUCGUGUUCUCGCCAGUAGGCGCAUGCCCAAAUUUGUGGCCGAGACCGCGUUGAGCACGGUUAAAUUGUGGGACUCGUCCACUGCCAUCUUGUCAGACUUCUGCGCCACAUGCAGAUGAUCUGCAACUGAAAGUCUGCUGACAGUCAUGCCUUCCGGCAAUACUGCCCUCCACGGCACCGCCUUAGAAAAGUUUGAGGCCGAGCCAUGAUGGUAUGAGGAGUUUGGGAAGAUAGGGUUUGGAGGAGCCCGUAUCUGGGCAUUUGGUAGUGCAAACGACAACUCAAGGAUGAAAUGCAGGGUACUCCUUCUUUCAACCGAGAGGUAGUUUAAAUGGACAUAUGCUCAUAAGGGAGCCGACACCACUUUGCAUUUCAUGAGCAAUUUGCGGUUGCGUCCCGUUAAAAGGGAAGCAUUUCUACUUUCUUUUCCUUCCUGUUUUCUGGUGCAUUGUGUUUUGAUUUCUUUUUAGUUUGUCGUUUUUGUUUUAUUUCAGUUGGGAAAGUGUGAUUUGUUUCUUGUUCGUUUGUCGCAUUCCCUUUAUUCCAGUUUGGGAAAUGCGUUUUGUUUUUCUUCUUUGUCUUUUGCAACUUUCUUUUAUUUUAUUUCCGAAAACGAGAAAAUAAAAAUUUUAAAAAAAAUUACACGGGAAGGGCAAAGACAAACAGGCACACUAAUAAUACACUAGAAUCACUUUUUCACAGUACUCGGUGUCUCGACCAUAGGACCUUUGAGUUUAGCCCUAUGGCUAUCCUCUUCCGGGGCUUCAGGUGCAGUCUCUUGGGGCUCAUCACUCGAGCUCCCAAAGAUUGCACUCUCAGCUUGAGCGUAACCACUUUCGCGAUCUGUUUUCUUGCGCUUACCCGGUCGGUCUAGGUCCUCCAGCUGCUUUCUCAUGUCCUGGGCGUAAACACUUACCAUCUUUGAGAGAUUUUUAUUCUCUUCCCGCAACGCCUCCAGCUGGUGUCGAUUCACCUCCACUAUCCUUGCCCUUUCCCUUUUUAAACUUUUAAUAAUACUCUGGCACUCUUCAACCAUACUUCGCUCUGCCGCCAACUGACCUCUUAGCA